GGGGAUGUAGCUCAGUGGUAGAGCGCUCGCUUUGCAUGUGUGACCCUGGGUUCAAUCUCCGGCAUCUCCA
rnacentral:tRNA from 1 species